rnacentral:tRNA from 1 species
GCCAUGGUAGUGUAAUGGAUGAGCACGGCAGAACGGAUAUCUGUGAGUGCGGGUUCAAGUCCCGCCUGAGGUU